rnacentral:rRNA from 1 species
CUGCUGCCUCCCGUAGGAGUCUGGUCCGUGUCUCAGUACCAGUGUGGGGGACCUUCCUCUCAGAACCCCUACGCAUCGUCGCCCCGGUGGGCCGUUACCCCGCCGACUAGCUAAUGCGACGCAUGGCCAUCCUAUGCCGGAGUCGCCUCCUUUGACCACCUGGAGAUGCCUCCAAAUGGUGUUAUGCGGUAUUAGACGGAAUUUCUUCCGCUUAUCCCCCUGCAUAGGGCAGGUUCCAUACGUGUUACUCACCCGUGCGCCGG